UCCCCGAGGCCAAGCAUUUGCCCCUCAAGGCACAAACCCGGGAGCAGGCUUGUGCUUCAGUUUAUGGAAACUGGAAACAGGAGCGAUGCGAAGGAGUGGGGGAAGCUGCUGAGAGGACGGGAACAGCGAUGGGCUCAUUCAGACGACCUCCUUCGCCCCACCUGUUCCCCUGAAAGGUGGCCCAGAAUGAGUGUGUAAGGUGAUGCUGUCCUGGGGAGGAGGGUCACGAGUUAAAGCACCGGAAGGAGCGAGGAUGCCCUGGGCGGCGACUCGCGACCUCGGGAGCUGGUUGGACUGCCCUGAACUGAUCUUCAGAGACUCCCAGAGCUACAAGCAGACAUGCAGCGUCCACCUGCGGCCGAGAAGACUUGAGGCCUCCUGGGUCCAUUGCUCUCAGGGGUCACCCCAGUUUUCCCUCGCCCGCACCCCUCGGCGCGCACCACGUCGCAGAGAUGGCAAAUCCUGAGGUAGUAAUAACUAGCUGUAGUCCUCGCGAAGGUGAAAAUCACUGCACUUUUAACCAGCACACAUCCCCUUCUGAGGAGCUUCUAUUAGAAGACCAAAUGAGGCGGAAACUCAAAUUUUUUUUCAUGAAUCCUUGUGAGAAGUUCUGGGCUCGAGGUAGAAAACCAUGGAAACUUGCCAUACAGAUUCUAAAAAUUGCAAUGGUGACUAUCCAGUUGGUCUUUUUUGGGCUAAGUAACCAGAUGGUGGUAGCUUUCAAGGAAGAGAAUACUAUAGCAUUCAAACACCUGUUCCUAAAAGGAUAUAUGGACCGAACGGAUGAUACAUAUGCAGUGUAUACACAAAGUGAUGUGUAUGAUCAGAUCAUCUUUGCAGUGAACCAGGUAAAUCAAAUAUGUACAUUCUUUAUUUGGAAGAAAGCACAGG